rnacentral:sRNA from 1 species
ACUUCAGGUUUUUUUACUCAUUUUUCCUCUCUUUGGUGUGGAUCGUAUUUUUCUCCGUUCUCUGUUGCCCAUCAAGGUUGUGAGUUGAUAAUUUUUGUUAGAAGAAACAAACAUGAAAAUUGUAUAAAGACACAAACUUUGAGUUUGAGAAAGUGGAGCUUCACCAUUCUAGACGCAAAUCAACCUAGAAAUCCUAAUUUGAAAACAACGAUAAGUUU